rnacentral:rRNA from 1 species
GUGUCAGCCGCCGCGGUAAUAUGGAGGGUGCAAGCGUUAUCCGGAUUCACUGGGUUUAAAGGGUGCGUAGGAGGGCAGGUAAGUCAGUGGUGAAAUCCCCGAGCUUAACUUGGGAACUGCCGUUGAUACUAUCUGUCUUGAAUGUUGUGGAGGUGAGCGGAAUAUGUCAUGUAGCGGUGAAAUGCUUAGAUAUGACAUAGAACACCAAUUGCGAAGGCAGCUCGCUACACAAUUAUUGACUCUUAUGCACGAAAGCGUGGGGAUCAAACAGGAUUAGAUACCCGAGUAGUCC